AUUGAACGCUGGCGGCAGGCUUAACACAUGCAAGUCGAGCGGGGGAAGGUAGCUUGCUACCGGACCUAGCGGCGGACGGGUGAGUAAUGCUUAGGAAUCUGCCUAUUAGUGGGGGACAACAUCUCGAAAGGGAUGCUAAUACCGCAUACGUCCUACGGGAGAAAGCAGGGGAUCUUCGGACCUUGCGCUAAUAGAUGAGCCUAAGUCGGAUUAGCUAGUUGGUGGGGUAAAGGCAUACCAAGGCGACGAUCUGUAGCGGGUCUGAGAGGAUGAUCCGCCAAACUGGGACUGGGCAAGAGGCCAGACUCCUACGGGAGGCAGCAGUGGGGAAUAUUGGACAAUGGGGGGAACCCUGAUCCAGCCAUGCAGCGUGUGUGAAGAAGGCCUUAUGGUUGUAAAGCAAUUUAAGCGAGGAGGAGGCUACUUUAGUUAAUACCUAGAGAUAGUGGACGUUACUCGCAGAAUAAGCACCGGCUAACUCUGUGCCAGCCGCCGCGGUAA
rnacentral:rRNA from 1 species